rnacentral:rRNA from 2 species
AGUCUCCUGAAGGAACGUUGAAGACGACGACGUUGAUAGGCCGGGUGUGUAAGCGCAGUGAUGCGUUGAGCUAACCGGUACUAAUGAACCGUGAGGCUUAACCUUACAACGCCGAAG